AUUGAACGCUGGCGGCAGGCCUAACACAUGCAAGUCGAGCGUGAAAGGGCUUCGGCCUGAGUAAAGCGGCGGACGGGUGAGUGACGCGUAGGAAUCUACCUGGUAGUGGGGGAUAACGUUCCGAAAGGGACGCUAAUACCGCAUACGUUCCGAGGAAGAAAGCAGGGGACCUUCGGGCCUUGUGCUAUCAGAUGAGCCUGCGUCCGAUUAGCUAGUUGGUGGGGUAAAGGACUACCAAGGCAACGAACGGUAACUGGUCUGAGAGGAUGAUCAGUCACACUGGGACUGAGACACGGUCCAGACUCCUACGGGAGGCAGCAGUGGGGAAUAUUGGACAAUGGGCGCAAGCCUGAUCCAGCCAUGCCGCGUGUGUGAAGAAGGCCUUCGGGUUGUAAAGCACUUUAAGCGGGGAGGAAGGCCUGAUGGCUAAUAUCCAUCAGGAUUGACGUUACCCGCAGAAUAAGCACCGGCAAACUUCGUGCCAGCCGCCGCAGUAAAAC
rnacentral:rRNA from 1 species